CUCGGGCCGGCGCUCUCCUCCCCGAGCUCAGGCCAGUGGUGCAGAUAUGUGUGCUUCUCCACCCCGUGCACUUCCUUCUUUGCAUCAUUAGUUGGAAUUUUAAUUUCAUCUGUGAUUUUUCAGUUAAUCUCACCAACUACAUCUUAGAUUCUAUACUUUACACUUUGAUAGACUAUAUGGGACUACCUGCCACUGCAAUUGGAGUCAUUCUUUUCACAAGAGUUGCCAAUUUGUUUUCCCUUGCCAAGAUGCUUUCAACUAGGAUGAGUUUUGAUUAUUAGUUCCAAAAUUAUUCAUUUCAUUAUAAAUCUGUACACAAGCUUGCAGGAGAAUAAUCAUGCUUCAACCUAUAGGUGCCAUGAUGAUUUUUGUUUUAAUGAAUUUGAAGUACCAGACAUUUGGAGGCAACUAGCUCGAGUGUACUUGCAGGAGUGCUGCAUUUGCCUCAGCCUAUGAUAUGCAGAGUUCCAUGACUUCUGUCUGUUAUUCAAUUAUCAAGGUACAAAAAUACAAUAGGAUGGAGUUAGCACAAACUGUCAUCCUUUAUAUCACAGCAGUUGAACUUCAAGGUUAACUUCAGUUACCUAUUGUUUGAGUUAAGAAUUAUUUGAGCUAUUUACAAGUUCAUAAAACUAGCUGGGAGUCAGAGAUACAAUGAGUUGUAUAUAGAAUUUUAAGCACUAUGAUAUAUUAUAAGUUCUCUUAGAUCUGCAAAGAUGUAUAUGUACUGUAGUAGUCAUUUUUAUGGAAAUAACUUGAUGGAUGGCAAUGUGAUCAGUAUGUACAAAUUGUAGGCAAUGUGAACUGAGAAAUCUUGUAUGCAGUUCUGGAUG